AGCAGCCGCGGUAAUUCCAGCUCCAAUAGCGUAUAUUAAAGUUGCUGCAGUUAAAAAGCUCGUAGUUGAAUUUCGGGACCAUCAUGUCGGUCGUGCCUCGGUACGUACUGGCAUUGUUGGUUUCUCCCUUCUGACGAACCAUGAUGUCAUUUAUUUGGUGUUGUGGGGAAUCAGGACUGUUACUUUGAAAAAAUUAGAGUGUUUAAAGCAAGCUAACGCUUGAAUACAUUAGCAUGGAAUAAUGAAAUAGGACGUUCGAUCCUAUUUUGUUGGUUUCUAGGAUUAACGUAAUGAUUAAUAGGGAUAGUUGGGGGCAUUAGUAUUCAAUUGUCAGAGGUGAAAUUCUUGGAUUUAUUGAAGACUAGCUACUGCGAAAGCAUUUGCCAAGGAUGUUUUCAUUAAUCAAAGAACGAAAGUUAGGGGAUCGAAGACGAUCAGAUACCGUCGUAGUCUUAACCAUAAACUAUGCCGACUAGGGAUCGGAUGA
rnacentral:rRNA from 1 species